rnacentral:rRNA from 1 species
GAGAAUGACUCUCGGCAAUGGAUAUCUCGGCUCUUGCAUCGAUGAAGAACGUAGCGAAAUGCGAUACUUGGUGUGAAUUGCAGAAUCCCGUGAACCAUCGAGUCUUUGAACGCAAGUUGCGCCCGAAGCCAUUAGGCCGAGGGCACGCCUGCCUGGGUGUCACAC